CUUUGGAGCAGCAUCUGCAAGGAUUCACUUCCCUCUGGCCGGCCCUGCUGGGAUCAGAGGCGUGGAGGGGCUUGGGAAAGGGGAGCAUGAGCAAGCAAGAGGCUUGCUGUCCUAAUUGCAAGUGAUGGUCAGGCUCACACUCUGUUUCCCUGCACAGACAGGAAAGGUUCUCCCACCUGCUCCACAGCUUGCCUGGUGGCAGCUUCACAGGAAUGCUUCAGGAUGCAGCAGGAGAGCUCAGCCUGUGACUCCAGGUGUUGUCCUGCACCUGCUGCAGAGCAACUCUUGCACCUCCUCCCUCCACCCCGUGCUCCUGGAGCAAUGUGUGUGUCCCUGGGAGAUCCCCAGCACGGCUGUGAGUGCAGCACUCCCACCCUGGACCACCCAGCUCUUUCCCAAGAGGCUGGGCUCUGAAAAUCCACCUGCCACAGGCACAUUUCUGCACCUGUUUUUGGCUUCUCCUCGGAGGAGCGGCGUGCCUUUGCUCUUGAGGAUGUGCUGUGCCCCUCUGUGGAAAACCCAGUUGGAACAAUAAAACAUCUGUUCCCGAGCCCAGCAGCUGGACUGAAAUGAAAUGACGUUAGCAUCAAUUAUCCUCCGGGGUGGGGAGGCUGCAGAACGACGCAGAUUUCCUUAACGCUGAAUAACAAAUGAGAACAACAGCUUGGCUCGGUGGCUUCUGUGUUCCCGGAGAGCUUCCAAACCCCCACCUGCUCCAGCCCUUGGCUUUGGGCUGCCAAGUGGGUACCACAGCGAGGCAGGGUGAGGGAGAUGCUUUUGCACCAACAAUUGGGGGGUAAAACCCCGUUUUUGGUGUCAUGGUUUAUGGCUGCAGUGGUGGGGGAGAUUUUCUUGAAUGCAGCAAGUGAUUUUUUUAUUUUUUUUUGGGGUGGGGGGAAUGGGGUGGGGUUCAAUGGCUUCUUGCAGAGCCAGCACUGAGAGCUGUCCCAGCUGGGACACGGCCAGCGGUGGGUGCAGGCAGGCAGCCCGGAGCGGAGCUGGGGUUCACAGAGGGAUGAGGAUGAUGCAGAAUCACGUUCCCUGGGGAC
rnacentral:lncRNA from 1 species